AAGAUAGGUCGCAUUAGUUAGUUGAGAGGCAUUGAAACCCGACCUAGGUUUUACCAAAUCUGUCUGAUAUUUUAUAUAUAAGGCAACCUAUGGAAAACUCAGUAUAUUCACGUACCUCUGCAACUGUAGUCGUCUGGUUCGGCUACACAGAUCUGCGUAGAAGGACACGGUCUGGGAUCACAAUGGACUGGAAAAAAAUAGAACUUUAUAAAUAUCGUUCAAGACGAACCAACGAACAUUAAAAUAUGAGUAUAUGAAUUACAUGGAAAGCAACCAUCGAAUGAGGAGGAGUGUCUAUUAGUUUAAUAUAAUAAAUAGAACAGGUUA